rnacentral:lncRNA from 1 species
GAAACUUCCCCCCCCUAUACAUAUUAUUGUCUGAAUAAGUCAAUUAACCCUAAGACCAAAGUCCUCUUCCUCGUACUCUCCUGUAACACCGUCGGAGCCACCGCCGGCGGUGAACGACACCUACGCCAAUCCUUCCCAAAUUCACACCAUAGAUUCCCCAUGAAUCCCUCUUUCUAACCAUGCCAUUGGUGUCCCUCGAAUCGUGCCGGAGCUCGUCAAAUAUCCGGUUAAAGUUUUUCGGCCACGACGUCGGUUACACCAAACGGCCCCAAAUUAACACCCCGGUAUCCUCUCUUUAUACUUUAUCGAACACCCUUAACCCCGUUCUUCAACUGUGGGUGGAAGCGUUCAAAUUUAGGUUUGAAAAUUUUCCGGUGAACCUGGGUUUCAUCAAACUUCACCAAAUCGGUGCAAUGGGACUUUCCUCACCUUCCUCAUGAUAUUUCUACCAUUACCGGGGGUCAAAAGACAACAUGACUGCUUGAACUUUGAACCAAGUGUUAGCAAACCUCAAGCCCAUCAGUGAGUUCUCGAGUGGUUUAAUAUUCUUUUAUUUGUUCCCCUUCUCAUCUAGGUUUAUUUCCUAUUGUAAUUUGCAUGUCUAUUGUUCUUUUCUCAUCUUGUGUUCUGAGUCUUUUGGUUAUUCUCCUGACUCACCUGAGCUUGUUUGAUCAUAGGUUAAUGGUUAGUUCUUAUUUUAUGUAAAUGUCCCUUGAAAAUUCUGAUUCCGCAUAAGUAUAAUCAAUAUUUGCUGUUUGAUUCUAUUUGAUUAGACUGAAUUCAAGAUUUUCUUUAAUUUAGCCUAAUGAUUUAGUAUUACCUCCUUGUUGUAAUUGUUCCACUUUCCGGGUAAUUGAGUUUUUAAAAGGAAUUUAGGGUAAAUUUUUUGGUUGGAUAGUUUAAUUUUAUUUGGGGUUUGGGGUUGAUUUAAUUAGGGAAUAUUUAAGUAUGAAGUUAAGAAGUUCCGGAUAAUUUCAGGGGGUAACUCAGGGAAGGGGUAAGGGUAGAACAGGGAAUGCAUAUUAGAACUUCCUAGAAAUUUCUAGGUGAGGAGGGUUAGAAGACAUUUCAGUAAAAUAAAGGGUUAAGAACUAAAAUGAGUGAGGGACUUGAAAGAAAAUUAAGAAUAUAGGUAAGCUCACUUGAUGACUAUAAAAGGAAAACACUUUGCUUAGUAGAUGGGUUUCUCUUCAGCCAUUUUUGAGCUCCCCAAAAAAUAUUUCCAUUUUUCCAUGUCUGAAGAAGAAAUCUAAAAUUAAAAAAAACUGAAAAUAGAAAAAAAUUUAAAAAAAAUCAAAAAAUAGUAGUUACUGUUUCAUUAGGAUCCUAGUUUAAUUUCAGCUUCUUUCGAGCAUUUGGCUGUUAUUUCCUAGUUCAGAGGUUCAGAGAUUAUGUGUUGAUUUUGAGUUUUGAGUACUGUUGGUUUCUGGAGGUUACUGACUGAUUUCAAGUUAGAAUUGUUUGCUUUAGUCUGGUUUGAGGUGUUGCUGUUGAUUUUUGGUUCAUUUGUAUGCAUUUCUGGUUGGAGUUGGUGCCGUGUUGAAGCGGCUCCAUUAAAUUUCACCCGAUUUAAACACUUGUGGGUUGCUCAUUCUAUUCCUGGGCUGUUUUAAGUGUUGAACUGUUGCUGCUGGAUCACUGCCCUAGCUAACUCCUAUUCUGAAUUUUUAUUCUGUUUCUAGGUACCUCCCUUAAUAUCAUGUAUGCAGUGAUGAAUCCUUGUAACUCAAUUUGAAGGCUAAAUAAUGGAUUAUGGAAUUCAUUUUGCUUUGUUUUAUUUUAAUGUUUUAAAACAGUCAUGCGUAAUUGGUAUCUUAUAUUAAGAGGACUGCGAUUGUCAUUUUGGAUUCAACUGUCUUUCGUGAAAUAACAAAUUGGGUUAUGUCAAGUUGAUAGCAUGCUGUAGUAUGUUAGUAAGCGAUGUUAGUAUUCAAUCGUUAGUUGUUAACCUUAGUCUAAAUGAUAGUUCAAAGGUGUCGACGCCCCUUUUUUCUCUCCCGAGGGAAAGGAAUCGGGUUUGCGACAUUAUGGGUGGAAUGACUCUUUUAUCCCCUUUUGGGGGAAUUUUGGCUAUGGAGUUUGAAGAGUCUCCACCUAAUGAGUAUAGUGCAUUAGGACACUUUUGAGAAAAAACGAAGGAUUCGAAGGAAAAUCAGAGUUUGGGUAAGGGCUUGAAAUUACCACGAGGGGAAGGUGUUAGGCACCCCUCAAGAUCCACUGAUGUAGUUCCCGGCCUUGCUUAGAUAUGACUUUAAGAAGAAUAGAAAUAAACAAGCAAAGUUUGUACAUAAGAAAUACAAGCAAGUUAACAAUUUUGAAAGAAGGGUGGCACAAGUAAAGGGAAUUUUAAAGAAAAUAUUUAAAUAAAUAAAAAAGUAAGGAGGGUC